AACCUUUUUUUUGCCGUCAUAUGACCUUAUAUAGAAGGCGUCAGCUUCGGCUGACUAUGGCGAUAAAUGGCUGUCGUAAUAAGCCCAUCGGACCCGGGGGCGGUACCCGGCGCCUCCACCACAUGCCGCUGCGGGCCAACUCCUGCCAGCGGCAUCUGAUGGGGGCGAAAUAGGAUCGACGAGGGUGUAAAGGACAGGCUUUCGCCCGGCAUGGUACCGCCGUUAUCGGGCCAACAUAAUAGUUGCCAACGACAACUAUGCUGAGGCACGUCUCGCUGCCUAGUCAGCGCGACAGUCUCGAAAUUGAGCCCUGAUCUUUAGCAAGGUCAGGCGCGGUUCAGGAGGGCACCGGGCAACAGAAGCCCUCCACU
rnacentral:tmRNA from 1 species